UUUAUUUUUAGUAGAGACAGGGUUUCACCAUGUUGGUCUUGAACUCCUUGACCUCAAAUGAUCUGCCCACCUCAGCCUCCCAAAGUGCUGGGAUUACAGGUGUGAGCAAUCGUGCCGGUCUCGAACUCCUUGACCUCAAAUGAUCUGCCCACCUCAGCCUCCCAAAGUGCUGGGAUUACAGGUGUGAGCAAUCGUGCCGGGCCAAGACUCUUCUACUGACAAGAGGCUCUGUUCCAAAUAAAAGUUAUCCAGAAGGGAACUGUCUCCAGGACUCUGGAAGAGGCUGAGGAAGGGACUCUUGACGAAGGGUGUCUGCUGCUGGUCUCUUCCAGCAGUGGAGGUUUGGGAGGCCUGGCUCCUAGGUUUCUUUGUUGGUUUCUUUUGUUAUCUCAUUAUCUCAUCCCACAGAAGAUUUGAAGGUGAAGUCUGGUCAUCUCUAUUCUCCCUCCUCAGACCCAAUCCCUGAACUUUAAUAAUUCCUGAAAAAUACACAUGUAGUUUGGGCUUGGAAAUGAAUAAAAACGUUUCAUCAAAAAACAAACAAACAAAAAACCAUACACGGGCCAGGCAUGGUGGCUUAAACCUGUAAUCUCAACACUUUGAAAGAUGAGUUGAACCCAGGAGUUCAAAAUCAGCCUGGGCAACAUAGGGAAACCCCAUCUCUACACACACAAAAUUAGCCAGGUGUGUGUGCUUAUGGUCCCAGUUAAUCAGGAGGCUAAAGUGGGAGGAUCGCUUUCGUCCAAGAAGUCGAGGCUGCAGUGAGCCGUGAUGGUGCCACUGCACUCCAGCCUGGGUGACAUAGCAAGGCCCUGUCUCAACCCCACCUUCCCCCACUACAGAAUCCAUGAGCAGAACUUCCUAACCUCUAGCCCUAUUCAUUGUCCUUAGCCUUGUAAAAGUUAGUCUUGUCUUUCAGUAUCUCUGAGGUCCGUAAAGCAUCCUUAAUCCAAGGGUCUCACCUUACAUCAGAUAAGCCUCCAAACUCAGAGCGGUUAUUAAACAUUCCCAUCUCCAGGAAUAUAAAUGUAUACUGAGAACUAGAGAAAAUUGAUCAUGCGAAAUAUUCUCUAAAAGUUAAUAUAAAAGGCCAGGUGCGGUGGCUCACGCCUAUAAUCCCAGCACUUUGGGAGGCCAAGGCAGGCGGAUCAUCUGAGGUUGGGAGUUAGAGUCCAGCCUGACCAACAGGAGAAAUCCCAUCCCUACUAAAAAAAAAAUACAAAAUUAGGCAGGCAUGAUGGCACAUGCCUGUAAUCCCAGCUACUUGGGAGGCUGAGGCAGGAGAAUUGCUUGAACCUGGGAGGUGGAGGUUGCCGUGAGCCAAGAUCAUGCCAUUGCACUCCAACCUGGGCAAUGAGAACAAAACUCCAUCUCAAAAAAAAAAUUAAUAUAAAAAUAAUUAAUAAUGUACAAUAAGUAAGAUAUAGACUACAGUAUUUUUCACUAGUGUAAAAUGGGAAUAAUAAUAGUACAGGGAAGAUUAAAUGAGUUCAUAUGUGUAAAAUGCUUAAAACAGUGCCUGGUACACAGUAAGCACUCAAUAAAUGUUCUAUUAUUGUUAUUAAUAGUAUUAGUACUACAGCACAUGUGUAACGGAAUUACUAUUGAACAAAAGAUGACACACUCUAAUUUGCAAAAGAGAUUUAUCAGAAUACUGUACCCGUUCCAAUUUCUGGCUUAGACUGUCUUCAAACCGUAAAGCCUCUGAAACAUUUAACAUGACAACAAGCAAAACAGCCAAAAUCAGUUCAGGAGGCCUUGUGGAACUAAACUUGACAAACCAAAGCAUUCCUUGCUAAUUGGAUUUCUUUGUCAUUCACCACUGAAAGAAAAACCUGAAAUCAGCAGAAAUGUAUCACUGAGGCAGAUUGCCCAAUUAUUUUCCUAACCAAGGGCAGAUAAACAUUGUGUCACUGCCCCGGUGCAGUGGAUGGAACCAGAAAGCCAGUGGCUGAGGAAGCAGGAGGAGCCAAAGUGGUGGAGGCAGCCUGCCUGCGGGUCCCAUUCCUGACUUUAAGAAAUGUUCUACUUGACAAGAGAUGACAGUGCCUUUAGGGAGGAGAAGGGACAUCUUUCCAAAGCAGCAAAUUCUUAUUGUGGAUGAAGUCAGUUCUUCAUUGGUCACAAGGACAACCCCAGAGAGUCACCCAUAGAGAAACCCUGUGCUUGGGGUUUGUCAAGGAAACGAGGAGACACGGUCUUAUUCUGUCACCCAGGCUGAAGUGCAAUGGUUUGAUCCUAGCUCACCGCAGCCUGAAACUUCUGGGCUCAAGUGAUCCUCCCAGCUCAGCCUCUCAAGUCUGGGAUUACAGGCAUGAGUCACUGUACCCAGGCUAAAAUUUCUAACAGAAGAAUUUAACAACACCAAAAGCUGCCAAAAUAGUAAUGGUAACAUAGAACAUGAAUAUUAAAGCAUGACUCACAUGUGUAUUGUACCUAUCACUUAUUUAAAGUACAUAUAGCAUCAAAUACUUCAAAAGAAAAUAGAUACCCUAGAAUUAAGACAGUAGAAACCCAUAUGGCUGGGCCAGACACUGUGGCACACACCUAUAAUCCCAAUGCUCUGGGAGGCCAAGUGGAUGGAUUAUUUGAGCUCAAGAGUUCAAGACAAGCCUGGCCAACAUGGCGAAACCCUGUCACUACUAAAAAUAAAAGGUAAAAAAAAAAAAAGAAAGAAAAAGAAAAAGGAAAGAAAUAAACCCACAUGGUUGGAGUAGUGAAAUAUUUGUCUUGAGCCUCCUGUUAUCUCAGCAUGAUGAUACACAUCGGAGAACAUCACUUCCCAAACAAAAGCUUAACUAAGACCUAUCCAAUAAUAAUUCCAUUUUAUAAAAAUAGAACUAUGGGUGUAUACAAGUUUCAGAUUGGUCAGAACUUUUGCCUAAACUGCUUUUGUUAUAUGCAGAUAAGUAUCAUACAUCAGGAAUAAAGGCAAAAUUAGAACUGCAGUGUGACAAUCAAAAAUAUAAUGGUAAUGUCAACACUAAACAUGUGAAAUCAUCUCUCUUGCCUUAAAUUUAUACCUAGUAAUAAAAAAUGUAUAUUUAUCUUAUAUCAAAUAUGUGCAAUUCAUGAUCUGGAAGCUCGAGUGGUAAUUUUCACAUGAUGAUUGACGUAGCCAUACCAUAGGGUCACAAGUUAACAACGAAUUUUCCUUUACAAAAGAUGAGGCCCAAAUUCAGUGAUUCAUUAACUCCAAUAAAAAUCCAGACUCCAGUUUCUAAUUUAUUUUUAUAUUUAGCACAUCCUACAGAUACUCUCAUAACAUAUGUUCUACCGGUAGGAAAAUUGAGACGGAGGUAGGAUAAAGGACUGGCUCCAACUGACAUAACUUAUAAUGGCAGCAAGGAUGGGGAAUCAAAUGAAAAAUGCAACCUAGCCUCUGAGGCCCCCAGACUCAGUUUAUAAUGGCCCAACUCCUGAGAGAAAACUCCUCAGCAUCAAAUAAAGAAAAAUAUUUGAAAUGUUUUAAAAUUCACGUGAGUAGAAAGGAAGCAAAGCACACUGCCAUGUGUGUACCUACGCAACUGUCUUGCAUGUUCUGCUCAUGUACCCCAAAACCUAAAAUGCAAUAAAAAAUUUUAAAAAUAAAUAAAUAAAAAAUAAAAUUCAUGUGAGCUAUUAGAAAUCAAAUGAU